AAGAAGCUUGUGAAACUUCAGGAAACAACAAUCGGUAAUAAAUAGAAAUAAAAUCAGAAAAAUGUCGAAAAUAAUUUUAUUAUUAUCAAUUUUCGUAUUGGUUGUUAUCUAUCCUGGUGUAUAUGCAUCAUGUCCUGGCGGUUGGUGCCAUCCAGCACAAGGUUAUGGCUGUUGUGAAGGAAAUACAUGCUCUUCAUAUUAUUUUCAAGGUACAUGCAUAAUUGAUGAGGCAGCCGCUAUGUCGUUCGCAAUGGGAAUAUGAUUAUAACAAUUCAGUGAAAAUUUAUGAAUGUCCACGGAAAAAAAAAAUCUAAGCGUCGGUUGGCCCUGGUCACGGAUCAAAAUCAAGAUUUUAAUAAGUUUUGACUCAUGUAGCAAACAAUAAUAUUAUAAACAAUAACAUAAAAUAUUAUUGUUUAACUUUUCAACGCCGAUAUCUUUCGUUUUUUACCAUUUCUUCCUCCAACAAUAUGUUUUUCUCCGUGUAUUGUAUCAUUCAAUAAAAAUCGAUUGCU